UGGCCGCAGUAUUUUGACUGUGCAAAGGUAGCAUAAUCAUUAGUUUCUUAAUUAGAAACUAGAAUGAAAGGUUGGACGAGAAAAUAACUGUCUCUUUAUAAUUUUUUUUGAAUUUUAUUUUUAAGUUAAAAAGCUUAAAUAAGUUUAAAAGACGAGAAGACCCUAUAGAGUUUUAUAUUUUUAAAAGUUGAUUUUUUAAUAUUGAAUAAUUUUAAUUUAAUUUAUAUAAAUAUUUAAUUGGGGUGAUUAAAAAAUUUGAAAAACUUUUUUUUUAGUUAAACAUAAAUUAAUGAAUAAUUGAUCCAUUAUUAGUGAUUAUAAGAUUAAAUUACCUUAGGGAUAACAGCGUAAUUUUUUUUAAGAGUUCUUAUCGAUAAAAAAGUUUGCGACCUCGAUGUUGGAUUAAAAUAAAUUUUUGGUGUAGAAGCUAAAAUAUUAGGUCUGUUCGACCUUUAAAAUUUUACAUGAUCUGAGUUUAAACCGGUGUGAGCCAGGUUGGUUUCUAUCUUUAAAAUAAUAAAAUAUUUUAGUACGAAAGGACCAAAUAUUUAUAAUAAUUAU
rnacentral:rRNA from 1 species